GCUCCUGUAGCUCAGCGGUAGAGCACUCCCUUGGUAAGGGAGAGGUCAUCGGUUCAAGUCCGAUCAGGAGCU
rnacentral:tRNA from 1 species